AACGAACGCUGGCGGCAGGCCUAACACAUGCAAGUCGAACGGCAGCACCGUAAGUGCUUGCUCUUACGGGUGGCGAGUGGGGGAAGGGUGAGGAAUGUAUCGGAAUCUUCUUUUUCGUGGGGGCUAACGUAGGGAAACUUACGCUAAUACAGCAUAUGACCUACGGGUGUAAGCAGGGGAUCUUCGGGCCUUGUGCGAUUGAAUGAGCCGAUGAAGGAUUAGCUUGUUGGCGGGGUAAAGGCCAAGCAAGGCCACGAUCGGAAGAUGGUCUGAGUGCAUGGUUAGCCACAUGGGAAGUGAGACAGGUCCCAGACGCCUGCGGUAGGCAGCAGUGGGGAAUAUUAGGCAAGGGGGGCGAGCCUGAUCCAGCCAGACCGCGUAGGGGAAGAAGGCGCUCUGGUUGGUAAGUCCUUAUGUUGGGAGAGAAAAGCAGCAGUUUUAUACGCCGCGGUACUGACGGUACCCAGAGAAUAAGCACCGGCUAACUUCGUG
rnacentral:rRNA from 1 species